rnacentral:rRNA from 1 species
CGGGACGGGUGAGUAAUGUCUAGGGAAACUGCCGAUGGAGGGGGAUAACUACUGGAAACGGUAGCUAAUACCGCAUAACGUCGCAAGACCAAAGAGGGGGACCUUAGGGCCUCUUGCCAUCGGAUGUGCCCAGAUGGGAUUAGCUAGUAGGUGGGGUAACGGCUCACCUAGGCGACGAUCCCUAGCUGGUCUGAGAGGAUGACCAGCCACACUGGAACUGAGACACGGUCCAG